rnacentral:rRNA from 1 species
CCUACGGGAGGCAGCAGUGGGGAAUAUUGCGCAAUGGGCGAAAGCCUGACGCAGCGACGCCGCGUGAGGGAUGAAGGUCUUCGGAUCGUAAACCUCUGUCAGCAGGGAAGAACGGUCACUGUGCUAAUCAGCAGUGAAUUGACGUUACCUGCAAGGGAAGCCUCGGCUAAAUACGUGCCAGCAGCCGCGGGAAUACGUAGGGGGCAAGCGUUAUCCGGAUUUAUUGGGUGUAAAGGGAGCGUAGGCGGUCUGGCAAGCCUGAUGGGAAAUACCGGGGCCCAACCCCGGGGCUGCAUUGGGAACUGCCAGGCUGGAGUGCCGGAGAGGCAGGCGGAAUUCCUAGUGUAGCGGUGAAAUGCGUAGAUAUUAGGAGGAACACCAGUAGCGAAGGCGGCCUGCUGGACGGUGACUGACGCUGAGGCUCGAAAGCGUGGGGAGCAAACAGGAUUAGAUACCCUGGUAGUC